rnacentral:rRNA from 1 species
CAAUAGCGUAUAUUAAAGUUGUUGCAGUUAGAGAGCUCGUAGUUGGAUUUGUGGCGUACGGUGUGUUCCGGGCACUUGUUGUCUGAGUAACCUGCUGUUGCCAUCCUUGGGUGGAACCUGUGUGGCAUUAGGUUGUCGUGCAGGGGAUGCCCAUCAUUUACUGUGAAAAAAUUAGAGUGUUCAAAGCAGGCUUAUGCCGUUGAAUAUAUUAGCAUGGAAUAAUGAGAUAGGACUUUUUUGCUAUUUUGUUGGUUUGCGCAAGAAGGUAAUGAUUAAUAGGGACAGUUGGGGGUAUUCGUAUUCCAUUGUCAGAGGUGAAAUUCUUGGAUUUUUGGAAGACGAACUACUGCGAAAGCAUUUACCAAGGAUGUUUUCAUUAA